UGGGGAAUAUUGGACAAUGGGCGCAAGCCUGAUCCAGCAACGCCGCGUGGAGGACGAAGGUCUUCGGAUCGUAAACUCCUGUCAGGCGGGACGAAGGCUGCGGGGUAAAUAAUCCCGUAGCUUGACGGUACUGCCAGAGGAAGCACCGGCUAACUCUGUUCCAGCAGCCGCGGUAAGACAGAGGGUGCGAACGUUGCUCGGAAUUACUGGGCGUAAAGCGCGUGUAGGCGGGUAAUCAAGUCAGGUGUGAAAUCCCUGGGCUCAACCCAGGAACUGCACUUGAAACUGGUUGCCUUGAGUGUUGGAGAGGGAAGCGGAAUUCCUGGUGUAGAGGUGAAAUUCGUAGAUAUCAGGAGGAACACCGGUGGCGAAGGCGGCUUCCUGGACAAUUACUGACGCUGAGACGCGAAAGCGUGGGGAGCAAA
rnacentral:rRNA from 1 species